UUUGUUCCCCAGCCGUGGGGUCAGGCUAUAAUGACAACAAAGGCAGCCUGGGAUGCAGCCCAGGUCCUGAGAGCGGGGAUUACAUCCAGCUGGUUCCUCUCUCCGGUCAUUUAGGGCCGCGUACACACGAAGGUUCUGCCCUGCCCACUCAUCCUCCUGGAAACAGGAGCAGGUGGGAAGCUUGCUCGGAGCGCUACAUAGAGGCAGCAGGUUUGGGGUGAGGAGGAAUCGGCCGUAGCGCAAAGGGCCAUGUUUUCUUAAAAAAUUCCAGUUGGAUUUGCUGCAACCUGCCGUCUCUGCUAUGGCCCUACAGGGAGAAGAAGUGUAAUCAUUCAGCCUUAAAUGCACUGUAGCACACAUACCAGGAUCGUGCUUGUCUCUGGAUCCAGAAGAGUAGUAAGUCCUAGAGGUUUGUUUUACAUGGGGAGGGACCUCAGUCCUUCCAAAGGCAGUUGUUGCUGAAAGCUCCUGGUUCAGAGGUAUAUCAGAUAAAGUGCUGUGCACUCCCGAAGGCACCUCUGGCAAUAGCUCUGUCUUCUCCUGCUGUUUCAUUUAACUUUGUUGUUACAACUUUGCUUGUGCUUGAUAAACC